UACGAAGGGGGCUAGCGUUGUUCGGAAUUACUGGGCGUAAAGCGUGCGUAGGCGGCUGCGCAAGUCGGUUGUGAAACCCCGGGGCUCAACCCCGGAACUGCAUCCGAUACUGCGUGGCUAGAGGUAGGUAGGGGAGAUCGGAAUUCCUGGUGUAGCGGUGAAAUGCGCAGAUAUCAGGAGGAACACCGGUGGCGAAGGCGGAUCUCUGGGCCUUACCUGACGCUCAGGCACGAAAGCUAGGGGAGCGAACAGG
rnacentral:rRNA from 1 species